CCUACGGGAGGCAGCAGUGAGGAAUAGUGGUCAAUGGACGCAAGUCUGAACCAGCCAUGCCGCGUGCAGGAAGACGGCGCUAUGAGUUGUAAACUGCUUUUGUACGAGGGUAAACGCAGAUACGCGUAUCUGUCUGAAAGUAUCGUACGAAUAAGGAUAGGCUAACUACGGGCAAGCAGCCGCGGUAAUACGGAGGAUUCAAGCGUUAUCCGGAUUUAUUGGGGUUAAAGGGGGCGUAGGCGGUCUGAUAAGUUCGAGGUGAAAUCCCGAGGCUCAACUUCGGAAUUGCCUCUGUUACUGUUCGGCUAGAGCGUAGUUGCGUUAGGCGGAAUGUUUGGUGUAGCGG
rnacentral:rRNA from 1 species